rnacentral:misc_RNA from 1 species
GAUGAAGAACGCAGCGAAAUGCGAUAAGUAAUGUGAAUUGCAGAAUUCAGUGAAUCAUCGAAUCUUUGAACGCACAUUGCGCCCCUUGGUAUUCCGAGGGGCAUGCCUGUUCGAGCGUCAUUAUAACCCCUCAAGCUCAGCUUGGUGUUGGGGCCUGCUGCACUGGCAGCCCUUAAAAUCAGUGGCGGCGCCAUCUGGCUCUAAGCGUAGUAAUUCUUCUCGCUAUGGAGUCCUGGUGGAUGCUUGCCAUCAACCCCCAAUUUUUCUAUGGUUGACCUCGGAUCAGGGAGGGAUACCCGCUGAACUUAAGCAUAUCAAUAAGCGGAGGA